ACAUGUCUAUAACAUAGCGUUAAUGCAUUGGAUCCCAUUAGAACUCUGCAAUUAAGCACGCUCAGGAUAGACUAGUACUGGGAUGGGUGACCACCCAGGAAGUCCUAGUGUUUUACAUGCC
rfam:Picea glauca, whole genome shotgun sequence.